GAUGAACGCUAGCGGCAGGCUUAAUACAUGCAAGUCGUGGGGCAGCAGCUUUAUAGCAAUAUAGAGGCUGGCGACCGGCAAACGGGUGCGGAACACGUACUGAACCUUCCUUUAAGUGGGGAAUAGCCCAGAGAAAUUUGGAUUAAUACCCCGUAACAUAUAGAAGUGGCAUCGCUUUUAUAUUAAAGCUCCGGCGCUUAAAGAUGGCAGUGCGGCUGAUUAGGUAGUUGGCGGGGUAACGGCCCACCAAGCCUACGAUCAGUAACUGGUGGGAGAGACCGACCAGUCACACGGGCACUGGGACACGGGCCCGACUCCUACGGGAGGCAGCAGUAAGGAAUAUUGGUCAAUGGACGGAAGUCUGAACCAGCCAUGCCGCGUGGAGGAUGAAGGUCCUCUGGAUUGUAAACUUCUUUUAUCUGGGACGAAAAAGGGCUUUUCUAAGUCAACUGACGGUACCAGAUGAAUAAGCACCGGCUAACUCCGUGCCAGCAGCCGCCGUAAGAC
rnacentral:rRNA from 1 species